rnacentral:rRNA from 1 species
UACGUAGGGGGCUAGCGUUGCUCGGAAUUACUGGGCGUAAAGGGUGCGUAGGCGGGUCUUUAAGUCAGUGGUGAAAUCCUGGAGCUCAACUCCAGAACUGCCUUUGAUACUGAAGAUCUUGAGUUCGGGAGAGGUGAGUGGAACUGCGAGUGUAGAGGUGAAAUUCGUAGAUAUUCGGAAGAACACCAGUGGCGAAGGCGGCUCACUGGCACGAUACUGACGCUGAGGCACGAAAGCGUGGGGAGCAAACAGG